rnacentral:rRNA from 1 species
CGGGACGGGUGAGUAACGCGUGGGUAACCUGCCUCAUACAGGGGGAUAACAGUUGGAAACGGCUGCUAAUACCGCAUAAGCGCACAGUACCGCAUGGUACGGUGUGAAAAACUCCGGUGGUAUGAGAUGGACCCGCGUCUGAUUAGCUGGUUGGUGAGGUAACGGCUCACCAAGGCGACGAUCAGUAGCCGGCUUGAGAGAGUGAACGGCCACAUUGGGACUGAGACACGGCCCAA